rnacentral:rRNA from 1 species
CGGGUGAGUAAUACAUCGGAACGUGUCUUCUAGUGGGGGAUAACUGCCCGAAAGGGCAGCUAAUACCGCAUGAGACCUGAGGGUGAAAGCGGGGGAUCGCAAGACCUCGCGCUGGAAGAGCGGCCGAUGUCCGAUUAGCUAGUUGGUGAGAUAAAGGCUCACCAAGGCGACGAUCGGUAGCUGGUCUGAGAGGACGACCAGCCACACUGGGACUGAGACACGGCCCGG